rnacentral:rRNA from 1 species
AUGGCCGUUGACGACUUCUACCACAAGCACCCGAACUACGCCACGCUGGUGGAGCUGCGCCUCAAGGAUUCGCGCGGAGACCUCGUCAAGGUGGCACACGCUGCCGAGGAGCUCAUGGACAAGAAUGCCGAGGUGCAGGCCAUCAUCUCGCCUCAGACAUCAUCCGAAGAUGCCGAGCUAUUCGCCGGCAUAGCGGAACACAGCAACAUCCCGAUCCUUUCCUCCUCCACCGCCACGUCGCCGGCGUCGAGUUCAUCAUUGCGGUCGCGUUUCUUCGUACGCACCGCACCCAACAUCAGCUCCCAGGCGGCCCCGAUCGCCGCCAUCCUCGAGGCGUUUGCGUGGCGGGCCGCUGUCCUGCUUCACGAGGACUCGCCCUACGGCGUCGGCCUCCUCUCGGCGCUGGUCCACGCGUUCCAGGGGUCACGCGGCCUCACUGAUAGCGUAGCCGUGCCACGCGACGCGACAGACAGCCGCGUCGACGCGGCGCUCCUCGCCCUCAAGACCAUGCCGACGAAGGUGUACAUCGUGCACAUGCCUCCCGCUCUGGCCGCGUGCCUCUUCCGCCGGGCCGUGGUCGCCGGCAUGAUGUCGGAAGGCUACGUCUGGGUCACCACCGCAGGCGUUGGCAACGCGGCGGACAGCCUCCCUAACCCCGGUGACAUCGAUUACAUGCAGGGGGCUGUCAGCCUGCGGCCUUACGUGCCGGCGACGGACCAAGUCAGGAGCUUCUGGAGGCGGUUCAAGGCGAGGUUUCGGCAGGAGAACCCAGGUCUCGAGCACGACGACCCCACUGUGCCGGUGACGUUGCUCUGGUUGUAUGACACGGCAUGGGCUGCCGCGGCAGCAGCUGAGACCACCUUCCGAACGGCACAACCAACGGCAUUCAUCGAUGCUCUGCUGGUCACCAAGUUCGAUGGACUGGUAGGAAGGUUCGGGCUGGUCGACGGCCAGCUGCAGGUCUCGGUGUACGAGAUCAUGAAUAUCAUCGGCAAUGGCGCAAGGACGGUCGGCUUCUGGGUACCAGGGUUGGGGAUCACGACGAGCCUGUAUCCCAGCGGUGCACGGAAAGAACUGAAGCAGAUCCUCUGGCCAGGCGAGACAGCGGCUGUCCCGAUCGGGUGGAACAAGUCACCCAGCCGAGGGAGCCUUCGCGUCGGAGUUCCGGUGAGACGCGGGUUCACCGAAUUCGUGGAAAUUUCCACUGAUCCGAGCAUAGCCACGGACAGAGUGUCGGGCUACUGCAUAGACGUGUUCAACGCGGUCAUGGCAAGACUGGACAUACGAUGA